UGAGGAACAUGACUUUCGGUGGGGGAUAGCCGGCCCAACGGCCAGAUAAUACCGCGUACGACCUUUUGGGGACAUCCCUGAUUGGUGAAAGCAGCAAUGCGCCGAAAGAGUGCCUCGCGGCCUAUCAGCUAGUUGGUGGGGUAAUGGCUCACCAAGGCAACGACGGGUANCUGGUCUGAGAGGAUGGCCAGCCACAGUUGGGACUGAGACACGGCCCAGACCUCCGUAGGGACGG
rnacentral:rRNA from 1 species